GACGAACGCUGGCGGCGUGCUUAACACAUGCAAGUCGAGCGGUAAGGCUCCUUCGGGAGUACACGAGCGGCGAACGGGUGAGUAACACGUGAGCAAUCUGCCCUUCACACGGGGAUAACCCUCGGAAACGAAAGCUAAUACCCGAUACGACCACUUCAGGCAUCUGAUGGUGGUGGAAAGUUCCGGCGGUGAAGGAUGAGCUCGCGGCCUAUCAGCUUGUUGGUGGGGUAACGGCCCACCAAGGCAACGACGGGUAGCCGGCCUGAGAGGGUGACCGGCCACACGGGGACUGAGACACGGCCCAGACUCCUACGGGAGGCAGCAGUGGGGAAUAUUGGACAAUGGGCGAAAGCCUGAUCCAGCAACGCCGCGUGAGGGAUGACGGCCUUCGGGUUGUAAACCUCUUUCAGCAGGGACGAAGCGCAAGUGACGGUACCUGCAGAAGAAGCACCGGCCAACUACGUGCCAGCCGCCGCCGUAA
rnacentral:rRNA from 1 species